rnacentral:lncRNA from 1 species
UACCAUCUGUGUGUGUCUUCAAUGGUGGAGAACUCAUAUGCGUCGGCUCAGGGGGUACAUCAGUAGUAGCUGUGGGAAUAGGAGCUAUGGAAGUAAUAAUAGGAGAAGUGGGUACCUCGAUAGGAGCAUUUGGAGUAGGCUCAGCAACUGAAUUAAUAUACGGAGGUACCUCUGGAUCAACUGUGAUACGAGUAGAGGUAGGAACUGUCGAUGCAGAUUCUGACUCUGUCACAACUGCGGUAGUAGUAGUGGGAAGCACAGAAGGCACUGCUGAAACUGGAACCCACUGCUUCUUUGGCUCCACAAACAUCACCUUGACCUUAUCCUUAUCAGUCCAAGUAAUAGGGGGCCG